AAACCAACUGGGAUUACCUUAGUAACGGCGAGUGAAGCGGUAAAAGCUCAAAUUUGAAAUCUGGUACUUUCAGUGCCCGAGUUGUAAUUUGUAGAAUUUGUCUUUGAUUAGGUCCUUGUCUAUGUUCCUUGGAACAGGACGUCAUAGAGGGUGAGAAUCCCGUUUGGCGAGGAUACCUUUUUCUGUAAGACUUUUUCGAAGAGUCGAGUUGUUUGGGAAUGCAGCUCAAAGUGGGUGGUAAAUUCCAUCUAAAGCUAAAUAUUGGCGAGAGACCGAUAGCGAACAAGUACAGUGAUGGAAAGAUGAAAAGAACUUUGAAAAGAGAGUGAAAAAGUACGUGAAAUUGUUGAAAGGGAAGGGCAUUUGAUCAGACAUGGUGUUUUUGCAUGCACUCGCCUCUCGUGGGCUUGGGCCUCUCAAAAAUUUCACUGGGCCAACAUCAAUUCUGGCAGCAGGAUAAAUCAUUAAGAAUGUAGCUACUUCGGUAGUGUUAUAGCUUUUUGGAAUACUGUUAGCCGGGAUUGA
rnacentral:rRNA from 1 species